rnacentral:rRNA from 1 species
UCAUAUGUAUAUUCCUGUAAUGUUGAUACAUCAAAUCCCAUUAGAAAUACAUAGUUAAGUGCACUUGGGAUAGAUUAGUAUGGGCAUGGGUGACCUUCAGGGAAGUCUUAGUGUUUUACAUGCC